UAUUUAUACCUUUGUUGCUUUGGUAGGCCGUUGGGCUUCGGCCUGGCUACCGGCUCCGGCUGGUGAGUGCCUACCAGAGGAUACCAAAACUCUGAAUGUUAGUGUCGUCUGAGUACUAUGUAAUAGUUAAAACUUUCAACAACGGAUCUCUUGGUUCUGGCAUCGAUGAAGAACGCAGCGAAAUGCGAUAAGUAAUGUGAAUUGCAGAAUUCAGUGAAUCAUCGAAUCUUUGAACGCACAUUGCGCCCCUUGGUAUUCCGAGGGGCAUGCCUGUUCGAGCGUCAUUACAACCCUCAAGCUCUGCUUGGUAUUGGGCCUCACCCGUCAGGGCGUGCCUUAAAAUCAGUGGCGGUGCCAUCUGGCUCUAAGCGUAGUAAUUCUCUCGCUAUAGGGUCCUGUGGACGCUUGCCAGCAACCCCAAAUUUUUCUAUGGUUGAUCUCGGAUCAGGUAGGGAUACCCGCUGAACUUAAGCAUAUCAAUAAGCGGAGGAAAAGAAACCAACAGGGAUUGCCUCAGUAACGGCGAGUGAAGCGGCAACAGCUCAAAUUUGAAAUCUGGCUCUUUUAGGGUCCGAGNUGUAAUUUGUAGAAGAUGCUUCGGGUGUGG
rnacentral:rRNA from 1 species